GUGUCAGCCGCCGCGGUAAUACGUAGGGGCCGAGCGUUGUCCGGAAUUACUGGGCGUAAAGCGCGCGCAGGCGGCUGAUCAAGCCUGACGUGAAAGCCCCCGGCUCAACCGGGGAGGGUCGUCGGGGACUGGUUGGCUUGAGGGCGGUAGGGGCCGGUGGAAUUCCCGGUGUAGUGGUGAAAUGCGUAGAGAUCGGGAGGAACACCAGUGGCGAAGGCGGCCGGCUGGGCCGACCCUGACGCUGAGGCGCGAAGGCGUGGGGAGCGAACGGGAUUAGAUACCCCCGUAGUCC
rnacentral:rRNA from 1 species